GUGGGGGAAAGCUGGGGACCUUCCUCGGGGGGCACAAAUCUUUUCCUGUCACUGGGGGAUGCACACAGCUCAUGGAGACCAUGUCAACCACCGGCCUAAGGAAAGCAGCGGGAGAGCUAAAGCAUGACGCGGCUUAAGCAGCUUGUCUGAGUUUGCACAGCUGGCAAAUGGCUGAGCCAUGACUCACAUGCAGGUCCAUCCACCGCCAAAGCUGGAGAUCUCUGGCAUCCUUCUAACAUCAGAAAGGGAAAGAAAUCCCUAAUAAGGAGCCUAGGUGACGGCGUGCCCACCCUCCACUUUCCCACCUCCACCAAGCACCCGUUUGAAGGCUGUUCACGCCAGUCACUGCAAUCACCGUUGAGCACAGAGAUGACAGUUCCAGCAAGCACUGACCUUCCAACACACUCUGCGGAGGAGAAGACUGAGGGGCCGAGAGGAUGGUGAUUUGCUGCAGUUGAUUCUGAGUCUAAUUUCCCGGCGCUGACUCAAACUCAUUAGGAACACUGCUUUCACUGAGUGUAUGAAGUGGUUUCUCCAUCCGUGUGCUCAUACCGGUCCCACGGCCCAGGUGUGGGGCGGAGCACUCCUUUCUGCCUCCUCCCUGGAUUGCAGGACCUGUGUCUCUCUUUAUGAAAGAGAUACCAUUUGGGGAAGACUCGCAUUGUCAGGAGCGCUGUGGACGCUCCGGGUGGAGAUCAACACGGUGAUGAUGAUGAUGCCGGGUGGAGGGAAUGUGCGCUUUUCAGGAGCCAGAAGAGAAUAAUCUGAAUGUCUCCAGCAUCAAGAAAAGACCAGUAUUGAAGGUGAUGGAUGCCUUAAUUACGCUGAUUGGAUCUUUACAAGUUAUAUUAAUGUAUUAAAUUCUUAUAUGUACGCAAAAACUAUGUACACCUAUUAUGCACCAAUAAAAAAGAAAUAUUUUUUUAAAGUGA
rnacentral:lncRNA from 1 species